rnacentral:rRNA from 1 species
AGUGAACGCUGGCGGUAGGACUAAAACAUGCAAGUCGAACGAGUGGCGGACGGGUGAGGAAUACAUCGGAAUCUACUCUGUCGUGGGGGAUAAAGUAGGGAAACUUACGCUAAUACAGCAUCCGAUUGAAUGAGCAGAUGUCGGAUGAGCUAGUUGGCGGGGUAAAGGCACACCAAGGCGACGAUCCGUAGCUGGUCUGAGAGGAUGAUCCGCCACACGUGAACUGAGACACGGUCCAGGCUCCUACGUGAGGCAGCAGUGGGGAAUAUAUGACAAUGGGCGCAAGCCUUGCCAAGCCAUACCGCGUGGGUGAAGAAGGCCUUCGGGUUGUAAAGCCCUUUUGUUCGGAAAGCGGUACCCAAAGACUAAGCACCGGCUAACUUCGUGCCAGCAGCCGCGGUAAUAC